CACCCAGAAGAUGACCUUCAGCAAUCAUAAUCUUAGUCAAGAAACAGAAAUAAAAAAGCAUCUCAUUUCAGUGCCUAUGGAAAGGCUUGUGUAGAUGCAUCAAAAUUUGGGUGGUGUUUCUUAUCCAUGUGAAUCAAAAUAUCCAUCUCAAAAGCAAGGACUCUGAAAAGCAAAUGGCCCAUCAGUGUGGUAUUACCAACAUGUCUUUUGUUUCCUGCAAAAGAUGCUCCAUCAUGGAGGGAGAAAGGCACCACUGGAUGGAUUCCUUUAAUUUCUGUCUCCUUUUCUUUGACCAACCAAUAUGGUAGAUGAUGGAAACUCUAUUAAUGGAGGUUUUCAAGAGCAGGUAUCAAAGUUAGACUGAUCAGUCUGUAAUUUCCUGGAUUCCUGGCAUCAGUCAUUUCAAGCAAGCUCAACUCACUAUGAAGGUGGAUAGACAAGGGAGACAAAGUGAAAGAGCUGUGACCCAACAUCACCACGAUCCACUCCUUCCCGGAACUAUUUGCCAUAUCUGUAGUCAAAUAUGCAGGUUUUGGAUGAGCCUCUUGAGUCAUCUCUGGAUUCACCGAUGGCUUCCCUAUUUACUGAAAGACUAUCAUCCUCCUAUCGAGGGACUGCCAAUGACAAUAUUUAAUCUUUUUUUCCAGUUCUUCUGAGACCUCACUUGACCUCCAAGAGUUCUCCAAGAUAAUAUCUAAUGGCUUUGCAGUUAUCUCAGCCAAUUACUUGAGUUCUCUAGGAUUAAUCCUGUGGCUUUUCUGGUUUGAAAACAUCUUGUUUAUUUAAAUGAUCCAUCACUUGUUCUUUCCAUUUUCUUGGGUGAGUGAGUAGCUGGGUGUCCUUGCUGGUAAAUGUGCUCACUGUGUGAGAGCUCAUUUUGAGUGGGCACGGAAAUAAAAAAAAAAAAUUAGCACUUCAGCCUUCUCCACAUUAUUAUCUUCUCCUCCCCAUUCAGUAAGGGACCUAUACUUUUUCUUGUUUGUAGAACACUUUCUUUGCUACCUUUUAUGUCUCUUGCUAGCUAUACCUCUAUUGUCCUUUGACCUUUUUGAUUUUGCUACUCCAUGCUCCUACACUGCAGUCUUAUAGACAUUGUUAGUAAUAUGGCCAAGUUUCCACCUUUUGUAGAAAUCCCUUCAAAAUCUCAUCUUGGAUCUAUUGUGAGCAAAUUAUUGUCAUUAAGGAUGCCAUUUUGAAAAAAUGCAGAUCAAUAAAUGCCAUUCUGG